AANCCUUCGGGAGGAAGUGAGCGGACCGAGCGGCGGACGGGUGAGUAACACGUGGGCAACCUGCCCGUAAGACGGGGAUAACCCCGGGAAACCGGGGCUAAUACCGGAUAGGUGACCUUUCUGCAUGGAGGGGUCAUGAAAGGCGGCGGAAGCCGUCGCUUACGGAGGGGCCCGCGGCGCAUUAGCUAGUUGGUGAGGGAAGGGCUCACCAAGGCGACGAUGCGUAGCCGGCCUGAGAGGGUGAACGGCCACACUGGGACUGAGACACGGCCCAGACUCCUACGGGAGGCAGCAGUAGGGAAUCUUCCGCAAUGGACGGAAGUCUGGCGGAGCAACGCCGCGUGAGUGAGGAAGGCCUUCGGGUCGUAAAGCUCUGUUGUUCGUGAAGAAGGGGUUGGCCAGGAAAUGGGCCGACAUUGACGGUAGCGAACCAGAAAGCCCCGGCUAACUACGUGCCAGCAGCCGCGGUAACACGUAGGGGGCAAGCGUUGUCCGGAAUGAUUGGGCGUAAAGGGCGCGCAGGCGGCCUCUUAAGUCUGAUGUGAAAGCCCACGGCUCAACCGUGGAGGGACAUUGGAAACUGGGGGGCUUGAGUGCAGGAGAGGGGAGUGGAAUUCCACGUGUAGCGGUGAAAUGCGUAGAGAUGUGGAGGAACACCAGUGGCGAAGGCGGCUCUCUGGCCUGUGACUGACGCUGAGGCGCGAAAGCGUGGGGAGCGAACAGGAUUAGAUACCCUGGUAGUCCACGCCGUAA
rnacentral:rRNA from 1 species